GAAGAGGAUCGAUCGGAUCUGGAUCCUCCUCCUCCCCUCAUCUCUGAAAUCAUCAGAUUUGCUGAGUUUUUGGUGUUAAGGAAGUCUCAUCUCUCUCUCUUUUUACGUUUGUUUUGCGUGAACGGUAUGUGGGCUGACAGAAGAGAGUGAGCACACAGCGGUGAUUGCAUCGAUCUGAUGCCGUUCCUGUUGCGUGCUCAUUUCUCUUUCUGUCGGCUCACCCUAUCUCUUUCUCUCCCACAACAGCACAGCACCGAACACUUGUAGCAUGCUCUAAAGUAGGUUGAAAACAAGUGUCGAUUAGAGAGGAGAGAGGUUGGUGGGCGGUGGACUUCUGGUCUCUCUCUGGAGAGAUGCCACGAGUGUCUCAUCUGGCCCGGAUAACCAUGGCGAAAGGACGGAUUUCCAAGGUGAAGGGGAAGUACUCGGUACAUGAACUAUUAGGGCAUGUUUAUGCAGGUGCAGAAAGAAGUGGAUCUUAGCAGAAACAUUCGGAUCUGUGUUCUAUCAUAGGGCGGAAGAAGAUGGUGAAUCAGAGCUCUGACACGAAUUUGCGGUCGAGGGACGACAGGCAGAUGUCCCUUCUCUUGGAGGCCCUUGGUUCGAGAACUUGUAUGGCAUUUUCCGGGGAUUCAUCUCGUCGAUCCGAUCAAGCCCUCUCGGUAGAGCACCUUGUCGGUGCAGAUAAAGCGCUUCCCGGCGGCUCUUUCCGCCUCGUACACCGGUGUGUGCGCUUCGGCAACAUCCAGCACUUCGACGUACCCUUGCACCGCAUUCACUGACGUCUUCACCGACCCGUCGAGGUAAUUCACCACGUUGCCCGGAACUGGCGUUUAGCGUCGGCUCCCUCUAAUAUCCGGCGCCAUUACUUGUUCCUAUGAUUUAUAUUGUACAACGGUUUCAUGUCAUGAUCAACGAUGAAUCAUUCUCCUUUAAUUUAAGAAAAUAGAACAAUUCAGUAUUAGAAUCAUACGGCGUUGUCUGUGAGAGGGCAAACAGUGUGGAAGACGCCCUGACAACAAUCAAAAGCAGCGCGAAGAGCGUCGAAGUCGAGAAGGUCGGCCGCUUACGCUCAACCUCUUUUGCGCCUUUCAUCGCUUUGAGUAUAAACCUUCUCCAAGAACAGCUUCACCAACCAGCAGGCGUUGAAGCCUCCGGCGCCGGUGAGACAAACAGUUCGGCCGUUGGUACCAUUUGCAGCUGGUGCGACAUCACCAGCAACCACGUUGACGGUGACGAGUUGAAGAUUAGAAGUGCAUGAUGCCAAGAAAGGGAGAUUCAUAAAAGAAGAAUAAACCACAGAUAAAUAUAUUUUAAAAAAAAAUUAAAAAUACUUACAAAACAUCAAUAAAUUGUCUAUUAAUGAA